ensembl:snRNA U2 U2 spliceosomal RNA
AUAUCACUGAGUAGAUAUAAAAAAAAAUCUGUACUUAUCAAUUUACUAUCUGAUAUGUCCCCUAUCUGGGGACCAUAUAUUAAAUGGAUUUUUGGAACAGGGAGAUGGAAGAAGAGCUUGCUCUGUCCUCCAGGACCGGUGCACCUCUC